GGUGUAUUCAUUUUAUUUCCCAGACAGAAAAAUACCAUACUUUGAAUACUUCUAAAAUAAAGUUUUCUUGCUUUAUGGUUGGUAAUAACCUCUGUCACUUGCACACUAAAAUCCAGUUCAAAUCAACCCACACAUUAUUUGUAGACUAGUUUCGACAUAACCAAAACAACUAUUUAACAAAACUGUGUCAAUGCAGGUAUCGAUUUCACUGACAGUUAACGUAAUGAUUAUUGUUUGAGGGGAUGUGUUCUCAGAAAUUGCUGACAUUACCACUAGAUCAACAUCACUUAUUUAAUGUAUAUAUAAUGCAUUCCAACACAGAACUCAUCUUACAAAUGUGACAUUACAUUGUAUGAGUUUAGAUUUUAUUUGGCGUAACCUGUUUUGGUAAAGCUUUUCCACGACAUGUUCCAGUUUUCCGUUACAUAUUUAAUAAGCAAAACAGAAGCACAAUGCAUAUUUCAAGCAAAAAUAAAUAAAUUCAUUAAAUUCCUCAUUAAAUACCCUGUUGAACACAAUAACUCAGUACAGUGCAUGACUUGGACUGAAACAGAUUCCGGUACUGAUUUUGGAAGCCGGUACUUUUUAUAUUUAGGUGCAGGCGCUCUACAAUACUUUUGAGCUAAUAUUUUAUAAGAGGAACAGGUGCUCAAGCAGUAGAAUAUUUUAGGUACCGGUAAAAAUUCAAGCAUUUUUUUAUAUUUUUUUAAUUAAAUAUUUUAUUCACCCAUUGUUUUCCAAUGUACAAUAUUCCUCUCUUGCAGCUUUAUACAGUAGUGGCACUACAGCACAAAUCUCCGCCUCACUGGAGAGUAGUUCCACCCCCCCGGAAACUCUUCUACACUGAAGCUAUCACACAGGUUUACAUUUACAAGAAAAAUAUGCAAAGAGAUAGAAUCAUGCAGUUGCAUUCAGUCAAAAUCUCAAACAGUGAGAGUCUGCACAAGAUUGUUGAUCAGUCUGUACCCACUGUUGACCAGAUGGUCCCUCUCCUUUGGUUUGUGAAAAUGUACACCCCCCCCCAAUCAGAUAGUGUGGUCAGAGGGAUGAAUCAGUUUGCAUGCCUGUUUGCAUGUACAGUCCAUGUUUUGUCAGAGCAGCGAAAUGGUCAUUUACUGUGCCUGACACAGGUGUUGUCGCUCGGGCGAUGAUGGAUGAGAACAUGAGGUGGUACGACAGCUCCUUGCAGAAGGACUGACAGAUUUACACAUUCCUGGCUCACACACACCACCUCCAAGAGUAGAUGGAAACUAGCAGCUGCUGGGAUGACAGUUCAAUGAGGCCAACCUCGAUAAAAGGUUUGUUUGGUGAAAUUGCAUUCAGAAGAUUUGAUGUUUUCCCCACAGGACUUCAGUGCACAUCUUCAGAAGGUCAGUUUUUUUCACAGCUCUGCUGAAGCACCCAUUCGGCAGUGUACACUCUCAGAAAAUCAAUACCCGUUUCUUGUCAUUUGCUAUCCUGUACAUCUUAUACUGUAAAAAUGUAUACAUUCAGGGGUGGCAGGUAGUGGUUAGAGUCUUGGACUAGUAGCUGAAAGGUUGCAAGAUCGAAUCCCCGAGCUGACAAGGUAAAAGUCUGUCGUUCUGCCCCUGAACAGGUCAGUUAACCCACUGUUCCUAGGCUGUCAUUGUAAAUAAGAAUUUGCUCUUAACUAACUUGUCUAGUAAAAUAUAGGUACAAAAAAAUGAAAAAAUAAGAAUUUGUUAAAGUUAAAUAAAGGUA
ensembl:lncRNA